rnacentral:rRNA from 1 species
UCUGAUGUGAAAGCCCCCGGCUCACCGGGGAGGGUCAUUGGAAACUGGGAAACUUGAGUGCAGAAGAGGAGAGUGGAAUUCCACGUGUAGCGGUGAAAUGCGUAGAGAUGUGGAGGAACACCAGUGGCGAAGGCGACUCUCUGGUCUGUAACUGACGCUGAGGAGCGAAAGCGUGGGGAGCGAACAGGAUUAGAUACC